AGAAUGGUCCACCCCACCGCACUUGUAUAAGCAGACGCAUCCGAGAAAAGAGCAGAGUCUUCGAUUUCUAGGGUUGUAGAGAGAUCUGAGCAAAAGCACGUUCUCCUUCUGCUCGCUUUGCAGUCAACAAUGGCGCCUCCACCGGGACCCUACUCUGGAACCAGCACCUUAGCCUUGGUGGCUCGUGCAUCGGCAUUCACAUUCGGACUUGUAUACGGAAACGUAAAGCUCAAGUAUCUCAGGGCCAAGGCAAAGUCUCACAAAAAGGCGGAAGCAAAGGCACAUCACUGAAGUGGAUAUUGUGGAGAUGCUGCAGCCUGAUCAAAAUAAUAUUUGAGAGACCCCCCUUUCACAUGUCUUAUUGUCGCUUGAUGCGUAGGACAAUCAUAUUCUACUGGUUAACUGUUCAAUUUUGCUUGUGAAUUACAUUUAUUAUCAAAUAAGUUCUUAAUACAUUAUGAUUGCCCAAACUCCAAAGGGAACAAAACUUUUUGCUCUUGCUUCACAAGUUUUUCAUUUGUCAGAGGUGUAAACGUUUGUAUAUUGGUUCCUAUCUUCUUGUCAAGCGUUACAUGUUUUUGUUGCA